AGAGCAGUCAUUGGUCAGACCAUAGAUACUACAGAAGACAGCGCGCUUGCGGAUCUAGUCUGCUGUAUAUAUCUAUGGUCGGCACGUCUGGUAGCAUCUCUGGCUGCUGUUGACCUUGUUUUUGGAGUAAAACACGGUGGAAGCUGAAUUAGUGAGGAUGACUCCUGCUCCUGUCAUCUCUAAGCUCCUCACACAUCUUUACCUGCACAUGAGGAAAAUCACUCCUGUAGAAUGCAGUGGUUCAUCAGAACCUCUGGGGAUGUCCUGUGGAUUCUGUGGGUCCUGUGGGUUGCAGGGUGGGUCCUACCUAGACCAGGCUGAUCCUGGACCAUCCCACAGAUGCUCCAUCAGAUGUGGAUGUGGGGAGUGUGGAACCCAGAUGCACAAUGAGGGACGUCUGCAGCGACUGAGAAAGAGUCUCACCACAUCCUGACAUGAGGAAAAAGACUUUAUUGAAGACUACAAUGAGAAAAACUAUCCAGACAGCAGACGGCUGCAUUCAAGGUGAGCUCUGAACAUUUGAUCUGGAACAGGAAUUCAAUAACGGCAGCAUGAGCUUCAUUUCAGUCUGUAGCUGCUGAAUUCAUGGAUGAAUCAUCUGGCACUAGAGAGGAAGACCUUCAAACAUCCACGUCAGCUGAUGGAGGUCCAAGAGUCUCACCCAACAAACAACCUACAGAGUGAAGACCUCCAAUCUGAUUGGACGGCCUCCUAUUCAGCCACUUGUGAACAAAUGCCUCUAAGUUGAUUUGUUUUCUAAAAUAAAUCUAGUUUGAGUCCUAA